rnacentral:tRNA from 2 species
CUGAAUGAGGUGUAAGCGGUUGCAUGAGGCGUUUGGAUCGCCGGGGUUGGGAGUUCGAGUCUCUCCAUUCAGAC